UAUAUAUAUUAUAUGUUUCAAAUUCUAUGAUAUUUUGUUAUAUUGGGUAUGAAAAAAUUAACUUCAUCUUAGCUUCCAAAUGGAUCUUAUUAGUUUGAAUGCCUAGUGACCUCUGAAAUUAUCUUAACGUGAUCUUUUGUAGCUUUGAGAAACCUUUAUGUAUCCCUCACGAAAAAAAAAAAAAAAAAAAAAAAACUUUAUGUAGAGCCCCCAUGCCUCUAUCAUGUUAUGAUAUAUAUAUAGUGGAACACCCUACUAAAGGUUGUAAAGCACUUUCUUUCUUCUGUAUUGUCUGCGUUGCUUUAAUUCAAUUCGAUUGCCUUCUUUUCCAACCCCCUCUUUUACUCCUUUGUGUUGCUUAACCCUAUUUACCUCACUUAUAGCUUCUUCUUCCUUUCUUCUUUUGGCAUUCUUUGUUUCUUCUAUAAACACUUGGUGAUUUUCUUUAGGGAAAAAUAUAGCCAUGAGAAAAUCCUCUUUUUGCUCUUUUGUUGAUGCAGGUACUCAUUCCAAUGCAUCUUGGACUUGGAAGAAUAUUUUAGAAGAUCGAUAAUGUUGAAAAUUAAUUCGAAUUUUGUGAUGUUUGAUUUAGUCAUAUAUUUGAUUUAGUUAUAUGCAAACUGCUUUUUUAGUUCAGUAAUUUACUCUUUUUAGCUUUAGAUCAUGUUCUUGUUGGUGCAAAUAAUAUCUCCAUUUGAAGGCAUGUUAAGUGAUUAAAUGAUAAAUGAGUUUUGACACACCAAAAGUAUCAAUUUAUAUUGCUUUUAUUUCUGCAUUGUUUCUAUUAUGACACCCUAGUUCUUUUGUAAUUUUUAUCAAAAAACCCAACGGAUAAGUGCUAUCAAGGGGCUGCGAUGGCAGGUUCGUGAUAGAAAGUCCAUCUUCAUAUGGCACGAUCCUGGCCCCCUUGUUGCUUCCCUUAAGACGACCUCUCAGCCCCGAGAUGGUAAGAUGUUCCCUUGGUUCAACAACUCUUUUUCAGCGAGGAGCCAAGAUGAUUCUUCAAAUUCCUGUAUGGGUUACUACUUACCAGAGCUUCUGACAAGUGGACUCGGCAUUUCUCUUCUCAUGGAAAUUAUAUGGCAAAAUCAGGGUAUUUAAUUGCUAAAUCUGUCUAAGAGUUUAGAUAUUCAAGCAGAAACCAUGUAUUUAACAGUCUCAAAGGAGCAAGGCUGUUGGAACCAGCUUUGGAGCUUUAAAUUGCCUCCGAAAUUAUUAUUUUCCUUUGGAUAGUGCUUGUUAAUGGGUUGCUAACGUGAUACAAAUUACAACCCAGGUUCAACGAAGCAUAUCUUUUUUCAUUGUCAUUUUGCUAGAAUUAUAUUGUAUGGCUUAUGUCUCCCUUUGAAUUGAGGUCAGACCUUCUAGAAGAUAAUUCUUUCCAAGAUUA